CUACGAGCUCAGGAGAGAUGUAGUGGACGUGUGUAUCGAUGGCACCUGCAGUGAUGAUGAGCUUUUCACCAGCGAUUACCUCAGUGGAAGAGCCGAUCACAAGCGCUGGAUGGACGUUGGCCAUUACAUCAGGAUUUCCGGAUUUCCCGAUGCCCACGAUAACCCCGUUUUUGACUCCAAUAUCAGCCUGGUAUUCGAAGGAUUAGCCAUGUAGUGAUGAACACCAUAAAUUUACCCUGUAUAUUCCAGACCAGUCGAUGAUGAGAGCGUUGGUAAUGACGAGAUCUAAAGCCUCUUCGGAUGAUCGAUUGGUCGCCUGUCCCAUUCCAUCUCGGAUAG
rnacentral:sRNA from 1 species